CUCAUCUUUAAAAAAUGUCAAUGUCAUAUCUCAUCUUACGAAUUUGUUACAAUUUCAUACAUUUCAUCAAUUUGUCUGUCAAUUCUUCUGUUAAAUUGUGACGUAGCUUAAAAAAAUAAAAAAUAAAAAUAUUAAUUAAAUAUUAAAAACUAAAAAAAAUAAAAUCUUUUUUUCUUUUUUUUGCGUAGGGGACCCACCCCUUAUCCCCCUCACCUUUCUUCCCCCAACCCAAACCCAGAUCCCACCCCAAACCCAGGUAUUCAAGUUAUUCCAUGAGCAUCAAAAUUUUAAAACUAAAAGAAGUUAUUGGUUUUGGACCACCACCAAGGCUCCACCUCAAUUCAGGAGACCACGCCUGCCCCCUCCCGAAAGCCUACACAGAGAAGAAACAAAAGCAGCAACAGCAGCUCUAGCAGUAACCGGCCACUCCCAUUCCCACCAGCCUGCUGUAAAUGUCAGAUGCACGUUGAGAAUAAGAGGUUUUAGGACCGAAGUUAAUGAGACUUUGAGGACAGUAGAAGACAAAAUGGCGCCAAUUGUUGAGCUUAAUACAAGGUAACUUCUUCACUUUAUAUGGAAGGAAGGAAUGUCAAUCCGGCAUCACCCACCACUCCCCGACCCAAGUCUUGAAGAAUUUCAACGAGAUUCGAUUCCUCCGGAUCGAGCUUCCCAGUGGCGAGCUAGGCAUCGAUGAGCGUUUUGCUCGGGUGGAGGGCCGGGUGGGUUGGGGGAAGACAGGAGCAGGUUGGAUCUGGGUUUGGGGUAGGGGAAGAUAGAAGCGGGGAAGAAAGGUGAGGGGGAUAAGGGAUGGGUCCCCCAUGCAUAAAAAAAGGUUUUAUUUAUUUUUAGUUUUUAAUAUUUAAUUAAUUUUUUUAAGCCACGUCACUAUUUAACGAAAGAAUUGACGGACAAACUAACGGAAGUUAUGAAAUUGUAACAAAUUCGUAAGAUGAGGUAUGACAUUGACAUUUUUUAAAGAUGAGGUAUGAAACUGUGAUUGACCUA